rnacentral:rRNA from 1 species
AACGAACGCUGGCGGCGUGGAUAAGACAUGCAAGUCGAACGGGGCAAUGCUUGUAGCAAUAUGAGUGUGUUCAGUGGCGAACGGGUGCGUAACACGUGGAUACAUUCCGGAAAGCGGGGGAUAGCCCAGGGAAACUUGGAUUAAUACCGCAUGUGGUCGAAAGACUAAAGGUGGGGACCGCAAGGCCUGCCACUUUCCGAUUGGUCCGCGGCCUAUCAGCUAGUUGGCGGGGUAAAGGCGCACCAAGGCUACGACGGGUAGCUGGGCUUAGAGGACGACCAGCAACAUGGGAACGGAGCCACGGUCCAGACACCGACGGGUGGCAGGAGUCUAGAAUCUUUCACAAUGGGGGCAACCCUGAUGGAGCGACGCCGCGUGGCGGAUAAGGUCUUCGGAUUGUAAACUCCUGUCAUGAGCGAACAAGGUUGCUGGGUUAAUAACCCGGCAAAUUGAUGGUACCGCAAGAGGAAGAGACGGCUAACUCUGUGCCAGCCGCCGCCGUAACAC